rfam:Nasonia vitripennis chromosome 5 unlocalized genomic scaffold Chr5_random003, whole genome shotgun sequence.
CAAUCGGCCCUUCUCAGGGCCCCAAAUAUUUUCGACAAGGAACAUU